rnacentral:rRNA from 1 species
GAUGAACGCUGGCGGCGUGCCUAACACAUGCAAGUCGAACGAAAAGACGAGGAGCGUGCUCUCCUGCCGUUGGCGACGGGCGGGUGAGUCACGAGUAGAUAACCUUCCACUUUGACUGGGAUAACUACGGGAGACCGGAGAUACUAAUAGAUAAUACUUCUAACGGGUGGGUGCAGGAGAGAUUCGGGGUUUUGGUGUCGCUUAGAGGCGAAUCCGCGGCGUAUUGGCGAGGUGGUAGGGUAACGGCUUACCAAGGAGACGAUGCGUAGCCGAGCUGAGAGGGUGAUCCGCCACACUGGAACUGAGACGCGGUCCAGACUCCUACGGGAGGCAGCAGUGGGGAAUAUUGGACGAUGGGCGCAAGCCUGAUCCAGCCAUGCCGCGUGGGUGAAGAAGGCCUUCGGGUUGUAAAACGCUUUUGUUGGGGAAGAAAAGCAGCGGGUUUAUCCCCGGCUGUUCUGACGGUACCCAAUGAAUAAGCACCGGCUAACUACGUG